rnacentral:rRNA from 1 species
AUUGAACGCUGGCGGCAUGCCUUACACAUGCAAGUCGAACGGCAGCAUGAUCUAGCUUGCUAGAUUGAUGGCGAGUGGCGAACGGGUGAGUAAUACAUCGGAACGUGCCCUGUAGUGGGGGAUAACUAGUCGAAAGAUUAGCUCAUACCGCAUACGACCUGAGGGUGAAGGUGGGGGACCGCAAGGCCUCAUGCUAUAGGAGCGGCCGAUGUCUGAUUAGCUAGUUGGUGGGGUAAAGGCUCACCAAGGCGACGAUCAGUAGCUGGUCUGAGAGGAGGAUCAGCCACACUGGGACUGAGACACGGCCCAGACUCCUACGGGAGGCAGCAGUGGGGAAUUUUGGACAAUGGGCGAAAGCCUGAUCCAGCAAUGCCGCGUGUGUGAAGAAGGCCUUCGGGUUGUAAAGCACUUUUGUCCGGAAAGAAAUGGAUCUGGUUAAUACCUGGGGUGGAUGACGGUACCGGAAGAAUAAGGACCGGCUAACUACGUG